rnacentral:rRNA from 1 species
UCUACAGGCUUAACACAUGCAAGUCGAGGGGCAGCAUGGUCUUAGCUUGCUAAGGCCGAUGGCGACCGGCGCACGGGUGAGUAACACGUAUCCAACCUGCCGUCUACUCUUGGACAGCCUUCUGAAAGGAAGAUUAAUACAAGAUGGCAUCAUGAGUCCGCAUGUUCACAUGAUUAAAGGUAUUCCGGUAGACGAUGGGGAUGCGUUCCAUUAGAUAGUAGGCGGGGUAACGGCCCACCUAGUCUUCGAUGGAUAGGGGUUCUGAGAGGAAGGUCCCCCACAUUGGAACUGAGACACGGUCCAAACUCCUACGGGAGGCAGCAGUGAGGAAUAUUGGUCAAUGGGCGAGAGCCUGAACCAGCCAAGUAGCGUGAAGGAUGACUGCCCUAUGGGUUGUAAACUUCUUUUAUAAAGGAAUAAAGUCGGGUAUGGAUACCCGUUUGCAUGUACUUUAUGAAUAAGGAUCGGCUAACUCCGUGCCAGCAGCCGCGGUAAUACGGAGGAUCCGAGCGUUAUCCGGAUUUAUUGGGUUUAAAGGGAGCGUAGAUGGAUGUUUAAGUCAGUUGUGAAAGUUUGCGGCUCAACCGUAAAAUUGCAGUUGAUACUGGAUAUCUUGAGUGCAGUUGAGGCAGGCGGAAUUCGUGGUGUAGCGGUGAAAUGCUUAGAUAUCACGAAGAACUCCGAUUGCGAAGGCAGCCUGCUAAGCUGCAACUGACAUUGAGGCCCGAAAGUGUGGGUAUCAAACAGGAUUAGAUACCCUGGUAGUCCACACGGUAAACGAUGAAUACUCGCUGUUUGCGAUAUACUGCAAGCGGCCAAGCGAAAGCGUUAAGUAUUCCACCUGGGGAGUACGCCGGCAACGGUGAAACUCAAAGGAAUUGACGGGGGCCCGCACAAGCGGAGGAACAUGUGGUUUAAUUCGAUGAUACGCGAGGAACCUUACCCGGGCUUAAAUUGCAGAUGAAUUACGGUGAAAGCCGUAAGCCGCAAGGCAUCUGUGAAGGUGCUGCAUGGUUGUCGUCAGCUCGUGCCGUGAGGUGUCGGCUUAAGUGCCAUAACGAGCGCAACCCUUGUUGUCAGUUACUAACAGGUUCCGCUGAGGACUCUGACAAGACUGCCAUCGUAAGAUGUGAGGAAGGUGGGGAUGACGUCAAAUCAGCACGGCCCUUACGUCCGGGGCUACACACGUGUUACAAUGGGGGGUACAGAGGGCCGCUACCACGCGAGUGGAUGCCAAUCCCCAAAACCUCUCUCAGUUCGGACUGGAGUCUGCAACCCGACUCCACGAAGCUGGAUUCGCUAGUAAUCGCGCAUCAGCCACGGCGCGGUGAAUACGUUCCCGGGCCUUGUACACACCGCCCGUCAAGCCAUGGGAGCCGGGGGUACCUGAAGCGCGUAACCGCGAGGAGCGCCCUAGGGUAAAACUGGUGACUGGGGC